rnacentral:rRNA from 1 species
UGAGUAACCUGCCCUUAACUCUGGGAUAAGCCUGGGAAACUGGGUCUAAUACCGGAUAUGACUCCUCAUCGCAUGGUGGGGGGUGAAAGCUUUUUGUGGUUUUGGAUGGACUCGCGGCCUAUCAGCUUGUUGGUGAGGUAAUGGCUCACCAAGGCGACGACGGGUAGCUGGUCUGAGAGGGUGACCGGCCACACGUGGGACUGAGACACGGCCCAGACCUCCGUACGGGAGCAG